rfam:Schistosoma mansoni strain Puerto Rico chromosome 6, complete genome
AUCCAGCUGACGAGUCCCAAAUAGGACGAAACGUUAGUCAAACUGGAU